rnacentral:rRNA from 1 species
UACAGAGGUCUCGAGCGUUAGGCGGAAUCACUGGGCUUAAAGCGUGUGUAGGUGGAUCGUUAAGUACCUUGUGAAAUCCCACGGCUUAACCGUGGAACUGCUUGGUAUACUGGCGGUCUUGAGCCAGCUAGGGGCUACCGGAACAAAUGGUGGAGCGGUGAAAUGCGUAGAUAUCAUUUGGAACGCCAAUGGUGAAAACAACUCGCUGGGGAAGUGCUGACGCUGAGACACGAAAGCCAGGGGAGCGAACGGG